AGAGUUAAACAAAAGAAAACUGAACACUGACGCAAUAACACAAAUACUAGAACUAACCUUUAAAAAAAGGAGAGCAGUAAUAGAAGCCAUCACUGAUACUGAUAUCACUAAGACACUUCCCUUUUCUAGAUAAUGGAACAACAUUGCAAGCUGAGAUGCAACUCAUCACUAACUGCCAUGAAGCAGACUUCAUGCAAAACUGGAGGUAGUCAGAAGAAAGGCUUAAAAUAAAUGUGCCAACCAUGAAGAUCAAGAUGAAGCGCAUAUCCCAGAUGAUGAAUAUGGUGCCCUAGUACUACAACUAUCAGCAGUUUUUGGUUGCGAACCAUUACUGCAUUUCAUUGCAGAGGUAAGUAAUUAAUGUUAAUAAG